rnacentral:misc_RNA from 1 species
UACGGAGGGUGCAAGCGUUGUCCGGAUUUAUUGGGUUUAAAGGGUGCGUAGGCGGAAGUCUAAGUCGGAGGUGAAUUCUGCCGCUUAACGGUAGAAGGGCCCUCGAUACUGGAUUUCUUGGGGUCGGAAGAGGUUGGUGGAAUUCGUGGUGUAGCGGUGAAAUGCAUAGAUAUCACGAAGAACACCGGUGGCGAAGGCGGCCAACUGGUCCGAAACUGACGCUGAGGCACGAGAGCGUGGGGAGCGAACAGG